UACGGGGGGGGCAAGCGUUGUUCGGAAUUACUGGGCGUAAAGGGCUCGUAGGUGGCCAACUAGGUCAUGCGUGAAAUCCCUCGGCUUAACCGGGAAACUGCGUCUGAUACUGGAUGGCUUGAGUUUGGGAGAGGGAUGCGGAAUUCCAGGUGUAGCGGUGAAAUGCGUAGAUAUCGUCCAGAACACCGAUAGCGAAGGCAGCUUACUAAGGAGUAACUGACGCUGAGGCACGAAAGUGUGGGGAUCAAACAGG
rnacentral:rRNA from 1 species